rnacentral:tRNA from 1 species
GCCUUCGUGGUGUAGUGGUUAACACGCUCGACUCGUAUUCGAGAGGUCCGUGGUUCGAGUCCUGGCGAGGGCG